GGACACAAAACUAUUUUUAUCGUCUCUUGUGAAAUCAAUAUUUAAUCCUGCUUUAUAAUGGGAAUCUGAUGUCAAAAUAUUCAAGUCCAUUUUUUCACUAAUAUUAUUAAAUCCGUACUUGAUUAAUUUUGGACUGGGGUGAUCAUCAAAAUAUAUUUUUGAUUUAUUUAUCGGAGGUGGGAUUGAUUCAUUAUUGAUUACUCUAGGAAGAGAAAAUAUUAUUGGUUUCAUCUAUAUUUAUAACUAAUAAAUAAUAAUAUUUUAUCAUUUGU
rnacentral:sRNA from 1 species